rnacentral:rRNA from 1 species
GAUGAACGCUAGCGGGAGGCUUAACACAUGCAAGUCGAGGGGUAUUGUAGCAAUACAUUAGACCGGCGCACGAGUGAGUAACGCGUAUGCAACCUGCCGUUAACCGGGGGAUAGCCCGUCGAAAGGCGGAUUAAUACCCCAUAAUAUUGGGAUUCUGCAUGGGAUUUCAAUUAAAGCUGAGGUGGUUAACGAUGGGCAUGCGUGACAUUAGCUAGUUGGUAGGGUAACGGCCUACCAAGGCUACGAUGUCUAGGGGUUCUGAGAGGAAGGUCCCCCACACUGGUACUGAGACACGGACCAGACUCCUACGGGAGGCAGCAGUGAGGAAUAUUGGUCAAUGGGCGAGAGCCUGAACCAGCCAUCCCGCGUGCAGGAAGGCGGCCCUAUGGGUUGUAAACUGCUUUUGCGCAUGAAGAAUGUUACCGACGUGUCGGUAAGUGACGGUAAUGCGUGAAUAAGCAUCGGCUAACUCCGUGCCAGCCGCCGCAGUAAAAC